CAUGGCUCAGACUGAACGCCGGCGGCAGGCUUAACACACGCAAGUCCGAAACGGUAACAUAAAGAAAGCUCGCUUCUUCGACGACGAGCGGCGGAACGGGCGAGUAACGCUUCGGGAAUUCUAGCUUCAGGAGGGGGAUAACUACGGGAAACUCGUAGCUAAUACCGCGUAGAAUCGGGAGAUGAAAGUGUGGGACCUUCGGGCCACAUGCCAUAGGAUGAGCCCAAGUCGGGAUUAGGUAGUUUGGUGAGGUAAAGGCUCACCAAGCCGACGAUUCUCUAGCUGGUCUGAGAGGAUGACCAGCCACACUGGGACUGAGACACGGCCCAGACUCCUACGGGAGGCAGCAGUGGGGAAUAUUGCGCAAUGGGGGCAACCCUGACGCAGCCAUGCCGCGUGAAUGAAGAAGGCCUUCGGGUUGUAAAGUUCUUUCGGUAGCGAGGAAGGCAUUUAGUUUAAUAGACUAGGUGAUUGACGUUAACUACAGAAGAAGCACCGGCUAACUCCGUGCCAGCAGCCGCGGUAAUACGGAGGGUGCGAGCGUUAAUCGGAAUAACUGGGCGUAAAGGGCACGCAGGCGGUGACUUAAGUGAGGUGUGAAAGCCCCGGGCUUAACCUGGGAAUUGCAUUUCAUACUGGGUCGCUAGAGUACUUUAGGGAGGGGUAGAAUUCCACGUGUAGCGGUGAAAUGCGUAGAGAUGUGGAGGAAUACCGAAGGCGAAGGCAGCCCCUUGGGAAUGUACUGACGCUCAUGUGCGAAAGCGUGGGGAGCAAAACAGGAUUAGAUACCCUGGUAGUCCACGCUGUAAACGAUGUCGAUUUGGGGGUUGAGCUUUAAGCUUGGCGCCCGUAGCUAACGUGAUAAAUCGACCGCCUGGGGAGUACGGCCGCAAGGUUAAAACUCAAAUGAAAUUGACGGGGGCCCGCACAAGCGGUGGAGCAUGUGGUUUAAAUUCGAUGCAAACGCGAAAGAAACCUUACCUACUCUUGAACAUCCAGAGAAACAUUCCAGAGAUGGAUUGGUGCCUUUCGGGAAACUCUGAGACAGGUGCUGCAUGAGCUGUUCGUCAGCUCGUGUUGUGAAAAUGUUGGGUUAAGUUCCCGCGAACGAGCGCAACCCUUAUCCUUUGUUGCCAGCGAUUUCGGUCGGGAAACUCGAAAGGAGACUGCCGGUGAUAAACCGGAGGAAAGGUGGGGAUGAACGUCGAAGUCGAUCGUGGCCCUUACGAGUAGGGCUACGCGCGUGCUACGAAUGGCGUAUACGGAGGAAAGCGAGAAGUGCGAGCUGGAGCGAA
rnacentral:rRNA from 1 species